rnacentral:misc_RNA from 1 species
GAUGAAGAACGCAGCGAAAUGCGAUAAGUAGUGUGAAUUGCAGAAUUCAGUGAAUCAUCGAAUCUUUGAACGCACAUUGCGCCCCUUGGUAUCCCGAGGGGCAUGCCUGUUCGAGCGUCAUUUCACCACUCAAGCCUGGCUUGGUGUUGGGCGACGUCCUCUUUGGGGACGCGCCUCGAAACGCUCGGCGGCGUGGCACCGGCUUUAAGCGUAGCAGAAUCUUUCGCUUUGGAAGUCGGGGCCCCGUCUGCCGGAAGACCUGCUCGCAAGGUUGACCUCGGAUCAGGCAGGGAUACCCGCUGAACUUAAGCAUAUCAAUAAGCGGAGGA